AUUGAACGCUGGCGGCAGGCCUAACACAUGCAAGUCGGGCGCGCGGCGGACGGGUGAGGAAUGUCUGGGGAUAUGCCUGCAGGAGGGGGAUAACUACUGGGAACGGUAGCUCAUACCGCAUACCAUCAGAGGAACCCAUAUGGGAUUAGCUUGUAGGUGAGGUAACGGCUCACCUAGGCGACGCUCCCUCGCUGGUCUGAGAGGAUGAUGAGCCACACGGGGACUGAGACACGGCACAAACCACUACGGGAGGCAGCAGUGGGGAAUAGUGCACAAGGGGCGAAAGCCUGAUGCAGCCAUCCCGCGUGUGUGACGAAGGCCUUCGGGUUGUAAAGUGCUUUCAGUCGGGAGGCGUUACCCACAGAAGAAGCACCGGCUAACUCCGUGCCAGCCGCCGCGGUAAUUC
rnacentral:rRNA from 1 species